UGGGGAAUUUUGGACAAUGGGCGCAAGCCUGAUCCAGCAGUGCCGCGUGCAGGAUGAAGGCCUUCGGGUUGUAAACUGCUUUUGUACGGAACGAAAAGCCUCUCUCUAAUACAGGGGGGUGAUGACGGUACCGUAAGAAUAAGCACCGGCUAACUACGUGCCAGCAGCCGCGGUAAUACGUAGGGUGCAAGCGUUAAUCGGAAUUACUGGGCGUAAAGCGUGCGCAGGCGGUUUUGUAAGACAGUGGUGAAAUCCCCGGGCUCAACCUGGGAACUGCCAUUGUGACUGCAAGGCUGGAGUGCGGCAGAGGGGGAUGGAAUUCCGCGUGUAGCAGUGAAAUGCGUAGAUAUGCGGAGGAACACCGAUGGCGAAGGCAAUCCCCUGGGCCUGCANUGACGCUCAUGCACGAAAGCGUGGGGAGCAAACAGGAUUAGAUACCCUGGUAGUCCACGCCCUAAACGAUGUCAACUGGUUGUU
rnacentral:rRNA from 1 species